AAUGAUACGCAAUUCUCAUGCAUGUUCAAGACAAAAAAAUCAUGUGUACUCUCUUUUUACUUAAGUAAUAUGUAUAUAUAUCUUGUUAAUCAUUAUUGACUUGAAGAAUUUCUUCAGAGUGCUACUUUUACCUAGCAUAUUAAUGAAAACUAUUCAUUUUCAGGAUUCGUCAUCGACUCGAGCCAGGUGAGGGUUCAGCGUGGAGGUUCGUCGAGGUCUGCUACUAGUAGCUCUCGUCGCUUCACUCAAGAUCCAGCAGAAGUGGAGCAACUGCGAGAAGAACUUAUGCAACAUCAGGAUUACUUGAAGCAACAAGCUGCGCAACAUGAAUAUUAUGCUACACAGAUUCGACAACAGCAAACACUCAUACAACAACUAGCACAGGCCCAAGGGAUACACGUCCUGGUGCCCCCCACCUCUCGUUCAUUAUCCUUGGUCUUCACCUCCACCUAUACCUACAUCUCCAUCUACCGAACAUCAGACCCCUCCAGCUACCUUGCCAACGCAUGAACGAGAAGAUAGGUUAGACUUUGUCGAAACCCUCUUCGCUAGUGGAGGUAUCGACCAUCACUCGUCACUGUAACCCGAUGGUGAUCGGCGACCGUGAGGUUCCAUGUUAUUGUGUUCUGAUACUUGAGACUUUUAUUAUGACUAUGUAUGAGAUAUUGUCUCUUAUUAGUACUGGAUGAUGAGAUGUGUCUUAUUAUGACUAUGGAUGAGACUUUUGUGAUGUAAUUGAUGAGACUAUGGAUGAGACUUUU